UAUGGCCACAUCAUGUUGAAACACUGGUUCCCAUGUGAUUACUGAAGUUAAGCAACAUAAAACCUGGUCAGUACCUAGAUGGGUGGUCACUUGGGAAUACCAGGUAAUUG